AUCCAGCUGAUGAAUCUCAAAUAAGACUAAAUGCUCAUCCUGGAC
rnacentral:hammerhead_ribozyme from 1 species